CAACCCCUAAGCACAGCUUAUUGUUGGGAAUCUACGGUCGUAGUUCCUCAAAGACAUUGGCGGAGCGGCAGCAGUCCUCUGAGCGUAGUAAUUUUUUAUCUCGCUUUUGUUAGGUGCUGCCUCCCCGGCCGUAAAACCCCCAAUUUUUUCU
rnacentral:misc_RNA from 1 species